GUAGUCAUAUGCUUGUCUCAAAGAUUAAGCCAUGCAUGUCUCAGUACAAGCCAUAUAAAGGUGAAAUCGCGAAAGACGCAUAAAAUCAGUUAUGUUCCUUAGAUCGUACACACAUUUACUUGGAUAACUGUGGUAAUUCUCGAGCUAAUACAUGCAAACAGAGCUCCGACCGGAGACGGAAGGAUUGCUUUUAUUAGAUCAAGACCAAUCGGCGGCAAUUUAGUUUUGGCUUUAUUGUUCGUCGCACUUUUUGGUGACUCUGAAUAACUUUUGGCUGAUCGCACGGUCUAGCACCGGCGACGCUUCUUUCAAAUGUCUGCCUUAUCAACUGUCGAUGGUAGGUUCUGCGCCUACCAUGGUUGUAACGGGUAACGGGGAAUUAGGGUUCGAUUCCGGAGUGGGAGCUUGAGAAACGGCUACCACAUCCAAGGAAGGCAGCAGGCGUGCAAAUUACCCACUCCCGGCACGGGGAGGUAGUGACGAAAAAUAACGAUACGGAACUAAUCCGAGGCCCCGUAAUCGGAAUGAGUACACUUUAAAUCCUUUAACAAU
rnacentral:rRNA from 1 species